GUUAACGUAACAGAACCUGGCCAUGUAGAAGACCUAAGCCCUUUUUCUAGGGGUUCAAAUCCCCUCGUUAACU
rnacentral:tRNA from 1 species